AAGUCGUAACAAGGUCUCCGUUGGUGAACCAGCGGAGGGAUCAUUACAGAGUUGCAAAACUCCCCUAAAACCAUCGCGAACCCAACCCCUAAACAGUUGCUUCGGCGGCGCCCCGAAGGCCCUCAGCGGCCGGAGUGGCCCGCCGGGGACCCCCCAAACUCUUGUUUUUAACAAAAUGGCCUCUCUGAGUUACUGUACUUUAAUAAGUCAAAACUUUCAACAACGGAUCUCUUGGUUCUG
rnacentral:misc_RNA from 1 species